GACGAACGCUGGCGGCGUGCUUAACACAUGCAAGUCGAACGGUGAAGCGCCUUCCUUUUUGGUGGGUGUGGAUGAGUGGCGAACGGGUGAGUAACACGUGAGUAACCUGCCCCCUUCUUCUGGAUAACCGCAUGAAAGUGUGGCUAAUACGGGAUAUUCUGGGUCUGUCGCAUGAUGGGUCUGGGAAAGAUAUUGUUUCGGUGGGGGAUGGGCUCGCGGCCUAUCAGCUUGUUGGUGGGGUGAUGGCCUACCAAGGCGGUGACGGGUAGCCGGCCUGAGAGGGUGGACGGUCACGCUGGGACUGAGACACGGCCCAGACUCCGACGGGAGGCAGCAGUGGGGAAUAUUGCACAAUGGGCGCAAGCCUGAUGCAGCGACGCCGCGUGAGGGAUGGAGGCCUUCGGGUUGUGAACCUCUUUCGCCAGUGAAGCAGGCCUGCCUCGUUUGUGGGUGGGUUGACGGUAGCUGGAUAAGAAGCGCCGGCUAACUACGUG
rnacentral:rRNA from 1 species